GCCCAGCUGGCUCAGUUGGUAGAUCAUGGGACUCUUAAUCCCAGGGUUGUGGGUUCAAGCCCCAGUUUGGGUG
rnacentral:tRNA from 1 species